UGGCGGACGGGUGAGUAACGCGUGGGCAACCUGCCCCAUACCGGGGGAUACCAGCCGGAAACGGCUGCUAAUACCGCAUAAGCGCACAGUAUCGCAUGAUACAGUGUGAAAAACUCCGGUGGUAUGGGAUGGACCCGCGUCCGAUUAGCCAGUUGGCGGGGUAGAGGCCCACCAAAGCGACGAUCGGUAGCCGGCCUGAGAGGGCGGACGGCCACAUUGGGACUGAGACACGGCCCAAACUCCUACGGAAGGCAGCAG
rnacentral:rRNA from 1 species